rnacentral:rRNA from 1 species
ACUCCUACGGGAGGCAGCAGUGGGGAAUAUUGCACAAUGGGCGCAAGCCUGAUGCAGCCAUGCCGCGUGUAUGAAGAAGGCCUUCGGGUUGUAAAGUACUUUCAGCAGUGAGGAAGGUGGUAUGUUAAUAGCAUAUCAUUGAUUCGAUUGAUGCUGCAGAAGAAGCACGGCUAACUCCGUGCCAGCAGCCGCGGUAAUACGGAGGGUGCGAGCGUUAAUCGGAAUUACUGGGCGUAAAGCGCAUGCAGGUGGUUUGUUAAGUCAGAUGUGAAAGCCCGGGGCUCAACCUCGGAAUUGCAUUUGAAACUGGCAAACUAGAGUACUGUAGAGGGGGGUAGAAUUUCAGGUGUAGCGGUGAAAUGCGUAGAGAUCUGAAGGAAUACCGGUGGCGAAGGCGGCCCCCUGGACAGAUACUGACACUCAGAUGCGAAAGCGUGGGGAGCAAACAGGAUUAGAUACCCUGGUAGCUACGAGU